AUUGAACGCUGGCGGCAUGCCUUACACAUGCAAGUCGAACGGUAACAGGUCUUCGGAUGCUGACGAGUGGCGAACGGGUGAGUAAUACAUCGGAACGUGCCCGAGAGUGGGGGAUAACGAGGCCAAAGCUUUGCUAAUACCGCAUACGAUCUCAGGAUGAAAGCAGGGGACCGCAAGGCCUUGCGCUCACGGAGCGGCCGAUGGCAGAUUAGGUAGUUGGUGGGAUAAAAGCGUACCAAGCCGACGAUCUGUAGCUGGUCUGAGAGGACGACCAGCCACACUGGGACUGAGACACGGCCCAGACUCCUACGGGAGGCAGCAGUGGGGAAUUUUGGACAAUGGGCGCAAGCCUGAUCCAGCCAUGCCGCGUGCAGGAUGAAGGCCUUCGGGUUGUAAACUGCUUUUGUACGGAACGAAAAGACUCUGGUUAAUACCUGGGGUCCAUGACGGUACCGUAAGAAUAAGCACCGGCUAACUACGUGCCAGCCGCCGCCGUAAUAC
rnacentral:rRNA from 1 species